UGGGGAAUAUUGGACAAUGGGCGAAAGCCUGAUCCAGCCAUGCCGCGUGUGUGAAGAAGGUCUUCGGAUUGUAAAGCACUUUAAGUUGGGAGGAAGGGCAGUAAGCGAAUACCUUGCUGUUUUGACGUUACCGACAGAAUAAGCACCGGCUAACUCUGUGCCAGCAGCCGCGGUAAUACAGAGGGUGCAAGCGUUAAUCGGAAUUACUGGGCGUAAAGCGCGCGUAGGCGGCUGAUUAAGUCGGAUGUGAAAUCCCUGAGCUUAACUUAGGAAUUGCAUUCGAUACUGGUCAGCUAGAGUAUGGGAGAGGAUGGUAGAAUUCCAGGUGUAGCGGUGAAAUGCGUAGAGAUCUGGAGGAAUACCGAUGGCGAAGGCAGCCAUCUGGCCUAAUACUGACGCUGAGGUACGAAAGCAUGGGGAGCAAACAGG
rnacentral:rRNA from 1 species